UUGGUUUAUGUUUCAUUUACUUUUUGGAAUUGCUUCCUAUGGUAAGUUCAACAAUCAAUUCGUGGUUCUUUCUCACGGCCUCUGUCGCUUCUUGUAAGGGAAGUUUGUAGAGAACUGUGGGAUCGAAGUGUGUGAAUGGGUUUUGUACAAGGGGACCUUGGCCGCCUCUCUUUUAACAGAGAUUAGACCUCCAUCCCAAUUUACAGAUUUUAGUUCGCGGGACACAAAUAGCUUCUUCCCCACCCACCAUUUGCUUUGGUCAUGACAACCAAAACAAACAGGGACAGAAAAAGAAGACUAGAUGCUAAAAUGUUACUUUUAGGGUGUGGUAAUGAUCCUUCCGCAGGUUCACCUACGGAAA
rnacentral:misc_RNA from 1 species